AAAUCAUUCAGGGCUCUUUCCCCACAAAAACACCCUUUUGGCCAUGCCAUCCAUGCCUGUCCAUGCAUCCCCAAGUCAGAGAUGUCAUCUGAGAAGCUCUACUGCCAGCCCUAGCUUGGAGGUGCCAACCAAAACAUUCUGUCACCAGCCCCAGCUUGGAGAUACUAACCAUGAAGUUCUACCACCAGCCCAGCUUGCAGAUACCAACCAAAACACUCCAUCACCAGCCCCAGUUUGGAGAUACCAACCAAAACAUUCCAUCACCAACCCCAGCUUGCAGAUACCAGCCAAGAAACUCCAUCACCAACCCUAGUUUGGAGAUACCAAUCAAAACACUCCCAUCACCAACCCCGGUUUGGAGAUACCAACAAAAACACUCCAUCACCAGCCCCAGCCUGGACACGUCAACCAAAAUGCUCCACUACCAGCCCCAGAUUUGGAACACCAGGAAGCUCCACCACCAGCUUGAGUCCAGGAGACUCAACCAAAGAGGAGAAGCCCCAGUGAAAGGACAGGUCAGAGCCACACCAGCACCCACUGAUGUCCCUUCAAGGAUGUGACCAAGGACAUGGUGCAGAAUGGUGGCAGAGAGAGAGGGUUCAACCUGCCAGGUUUAUCCUGCACCUCCUGCUCCAAAGAGAGAUUUUCAACUCAAAUUUUUUCUGGAACAAACAGCAACUCUUGAUCAAUGCACAAAUUCCAGCAAGA